GUACUACUCCCUUCGUUCGGAAUUACUUGCCGCAGAAAUGGAUGUAUCUAGACGUAUUUUAGUUCUAGAUACAUCUAUAUCCAAAACAAGUAAAUCCGAAACGAAGGGAGUAUUCG
rnacentral:pre_miRNA from 1 species